GACGAACGCUGGCGGCGUGCUUAACACAUGCAAGUCGAACGGUAAGGCCCUUCGGGGUACACGAGUGGCGAACGGGUGAGUAACACGUGGGUGAUCUGCCCUGCACUUCGGGAUAAGCCUGGGAAAUUGGGUCUAAUACCGGAUAGGACCACUGCCUGCAUGGGUGGUGGUGGAAAGCUUUUGCGGUGUGGGAUGGGCCCGCGGCCUAUCAGCUUGUUGGUGGGGUGAUGGCCUACCAAGGCGACGACGGGUAGCCGGCCUGAGAGGGUGACCGGCCACACUGGGACUGAGAUACGGCCCAGACUCCUACGGGAGGCAGCAGUGGGGAAUAUUGCACAAUGGGCGCAAGCCUGAUGCAGCGACGCCGCGUGAGGGAUGACGGCCUUCGGGUUGUAUACCUCUUUCAGCACCGACGAAGCGCAAGUGACGGUAGGUGCAGAAGAAGGACCGGCCAACUACGUGCCAGCCGCCGCGGUAA
rnacentral:rRNA from 1 species